rnacentral:rRNA from 1 species
GAUGAACGCUGGCGGCGUGCCUAAUACAUGCAAGUCGAGCGAAGCGGGGACGGGUGAGUAACACGUGGAUAACCUCCUAUAAGACUGGGCUAACUUCGGGAAACCUGAUCUAGCCCGGAUACUUAUAGAUGGCUCCGCGCUGCAUUAGCUAGUUGGUAAUGUAACGGCUUACCAGGGCAACGAUGCAUAGCCGACCUGAGAGGGUGAUCGGCCACACUUGAACUGAGACACGGUCCAGACUACUACGGGAGGGAGCAGUAGGGAAUAUUCCGCAAUGGGCGCAAGCCUGACGGAGCAACGCCGCGUGAGUGAUGAAGGUCUUCGGAUCGUAAAACGCUGUUAGUAGGGAAGCGGUACCUAAUCAGAAAGCAACGGCUAACUACGUGCCAGCAGCCGCGGUAAUUC